ACAAGACGUCAGGAUAGAUUAAAGGCCCAUUUUAAUGAACUAACAUCCACAAGAGGUCUAAAUUAAUCGGUAUAUCUUUCGAAAGCGUCGGCCAUUCUUUCCCGCCACACGGCGGACGGGGGGAAGAGUUUUUCCUUAUGCGACUCUAUGGGCCCAACGCGGAAGAGAUUUUCAACGGAGGCCUACGGUUGUGUCCUCUGAUAAUCUCCCUCUCCAUGGAUCUUUUGUAAAGCCCAAUCAGGAAGUAGGAGGAGCCGAAGAAGUUGACGAGCUUAUCGAUGGCGUCUCGAGCACUGAACCAGAGCCUAAAUCGUAGUUAUGGUGUAGGGUUAAUAAGAAAGAAGGUACAAGAAGAUGGGGACAGCCUUGAGAGUGUUUAAGCUGCGAAAUGGAAGGGAGAUUGGUGUUCUCCGGAAGGAAUUAGAGUCUGUCUGGAUGCAUCGAAAACAGUACAGAAGCUGACGCUUGCUGUACCUGUACCAGUAGUUUCUCUGGAUGGGUAUACAAAUGCUGGGAAGAGUACGCUCUUGAAUCGGUUGGCUGGAGUGGAAGUCCUUUGCAGAGGAUUGAUUGUUUGCAACCACCUUUGAUCCAGCUGCAAGAAGGGUUCAGAUGAAAAAUGGAAACGAGUUUCUACUUGCCGAAACUGUUGGUUUCAUCCAAAAGUUACCAACUAUGCUGGUUGACAAGGUUAGUGAUCCUCAAAAUAUUGGAGGGGAUGUUAUUUGUGUACCAGUGAGAUCCCACGUAGCAUUGUUUAUAAAUGUGUGAAAACCUCUCCUUAGCAGACGCAUUUCAAAACUGUGAGGCUGACAGUGAUACGUGAUAGGCCUAAGCGGAUAAUAUUUGCACCGAGUGAUGAUGGUUUGGAUGAAUUCGGCUAUUUACUCUGUAGUCCUCUCUAUUCUUUGUUAGCAGCAGGUGGCACUGCUUUUAACCUAAAUAUGAAGACAAGAAAUGAAAUAAUUUUUUUGAA